rnacentral:pre_miRNA from 1 species
UGAUGAUGAUGAUGAUGAUGAUGAUGAUGAUGAUGAUGAUGAUGUUGAUUAUUACUAUUAUGAUCCUCAUUUUCAUCAUAAUCAUCAUCAUCGCCA